rnacentral:rRNA from 1 species
CCUACGGGCGGCAGCAGUGGGGAAUAUUGGGCAAUGGGCGCAAGCCUGACCCAGCAACGCCGCGUGAAGGAAGAAGGCUUUCCGGUUGUAAACUUCUUUUAAUAGGGAAGAGCAGAAGACGGUGCCUCUUGCAUCAGCCACGGCUAACUACGUGCCAGCAGCCGCGGUCAUACGUAGGUGGCAAGCGUUGUCCGGAUUUACUGGGUGUAAAGGGCGUGUAGCCGGGCCGAUAAGUCAGAUGGGAACUUCCGGGGCUCAACCCCGGACCUGCAGUUGAAACUGUUGGGCUUGAGUAGCGGAGAGGCAGGCGGAAUUCCUAGUGUAGCGGUGAAAUGCGUAGAUAUCAGGAGGAACACCAGUGGCGAAGGCGGCCUGCUGGACGACAACUGACGGUGAGGCGCGAAAGCGUGGGGAGCAAACAGGAUUAGAUACCCCUGUAGUC